AGUGAACGCUGGCGGUAGGCCUAACACAUGCAAGUCGAACGGCAGCACAGUAAGAGCUUGCUCUUACGGGUGGCGAGUGGCGGACGGGUGAGGAAUACAUCGGAAUCUACUUUUUCGUGGGGGAUAACGUAGGGAAACUUACGCUAAUACCGCAUACGACCUACGGGUGAAAGCAGGGGAUCUUCGGACCUUGCGCGAUUGAAUGAGCCGAUGUCGGAUUAGCUGGUUGGCGGGGUAAAGGCCCACCAAGGCGACGAUUCGUAGCUGGUCUGAGAGGAUGAUAAGCGACACUGGAACUGAGACAGGGACCAGACUCCUACGGGAGGCAGCAGUGGGGAAUAUUGGACAAUGGGCGAAAGCCUGGUCCAGCCAUACCGCGUGGGUGAAGAAGGCCUUCGGGUUGUAAAGCCCUUUUGUUGGGAAAGAAAAGCAGCAUGUUAAUACCCCGCUGUUCUGACGGUACCCAAAGAAUAAGCACCGGCUAACUUCGUG
rnacentral:rRNA from 1 species